AUUGAACGCUGGCGGCAUGCUUUACACAUGCAAGUCGAACGGUAACAGGCCUUCGGGUGCUGACGAGUGGCGAACGGGUGAGUAAUGCAUCGGAACGUACCCAGAGGUGGGGGAUAACGCAGCGAAAGCUGUGCUAAUACCGCAUGUGAUCUGAGGAUGAAAGCGGGGGACCGAGCAGCAAUGUUUGGCCUCGCGCCUUUGGAGCGGCCGAUGUCGGAUUAGCUAGUUGGUGGGGUAAAGGCCUACCAAGGCGACGAUCCGUAGCUGGUCUGAGGGGACGACCAGCCACACUGGGACUGAGACACGGCCCAGACUCCUACGGGAGGCAGCAAUGGGGAAUUUUGGACAAUGGGCGCAAGCCUGAUCCAGCAAUGCCGCGUGCGGGAAGAAGGCCUUCGGGUUGUAAACCGCUUUUGGCAGGAACGAAACGGUGUCCGCUAAUACCGGGCGCUAAUGACGGUACCUGCAGAAUAAGCACCGGCUAACUACGU
rnacentral:rRNA from 1 species